ACAGCAGUAGCCGCGGUAAUACAGAGGGUGCAAGCGUUAAUCGGAAUUACUGGGCGUAAAGCGCGCGUAGGUGGUUUGUUAAGUUGGAUGUGAAAGCCCCGGGCUCAACCUGGGAACUGCAUCCAAAACUGGCAAGCUAGAGUACGGUAGAGGGUGGUGGAAUUUCCUGUGUAGCGGUGAAAUGCGUAGAUAUAGGAAGGAACACCAGUGGCGAAGGCGACCACCUGGACUGAUACUGACACUGAGGUGCGAAAGCGUGGGGAGCAAACAGGAUUAGAUACCCGAGUAGUCCCUGUCUCUUAUAA
rnacentral:rRNA from 1 species